rnacentral:rRNA from 1 species
UAGGGAAUUUUCGUCAAUGGGGGGAACCCUGAACGAGCAAUGCCGCGUGUGUGAAGAAGGUCUUCGGAUCGUAAAGCACUGUUGUAAGUGAAGAAUGCCAUAUAGAGGAAAUGCUAUGUGGGUGACGGUAGCUUACCAGAAAGCCACGGCUAACUACGUGCCAGCAGCCGCGGUAAUACGUAGGUGGCAAGCGUUAUCCGGAAUCAUUGGGCGUAAAGGGUGCGUAGGUGGCACGAUAAGUCUGAAGUAAAAGGCAACAGCUCAACUGUUGUAUGCUUUGGAAACUGUCGAGCUAGAGUGCAGAAGAGGGCGAUGGAAUUCCAUGUGUAGCGGUAAAAUGCGUAGAUAUAUGGAGGGACACCAGUGGCGAAGGCGGUCGCCUGGUCUGUAACUGACACUGAUGCACGAAAGCGUGGGGAGCAAAUAGGGAUUAGAUACC